AUUGAACGCUGGCGGCAUGCCUUACACAUGCAAGUCGAACGGCAGCACGGGAGCUUGCUCCUGGUGGCGAGUGGCGAACGGGUGAGUAAUACAUCGGAACGUACCCUGAAGUGGGGGAUAACGUAGCGAAAGUUACGCUAAUACCGCAUAUUCUGUGAGCAGGAAAGAGGGGGAUCGCAAGACCUCUUGCUUUAGGAGCGGCCGAUGUCGGAUUAGCUAGUUGGUGAGGUAAAGGCUCACCAAGGCGACGAUCCGUAGCGGGUCUGAGAGGAGUGAUCCGCCACACUGGGACGUGAGACACGGCCC
rnacentral:rRNA from 1 species